rnacentral:rRNA from 1 species
AUUGCCUUAGUAACGGCGAGUGAAGCGGCAACAGCUCAAAUUUGAAAGCUGGCCCUUUUAGGGUCCGCAUUGUAAUUUGUAGAGGAUGAUUCGGCGAGGGCUCCUGCCUAAGUCCCCUGGAACGGGGCGUCAUAGAGGGUGAGAAUCCCGUAUGCGGUAGGUUGCCUUAGCCAUGUGAAUCUCCUUCGACGAGUCGAGUUGUUUGGGAAUGCAGCUCUAAAUGGGAGGUAAAUUUCUUCUAAAGCUAAAUACCGGCCAGAGACCGAUAGCGCACAAGUAGAGUGAUCGAAAGAUGAAAAGCACUUUGGAAAGAGAGUUAAAAAGUACGUGAAAUUGUUGAAAGGGAAGCGCUUGCAACCAGACUUGUCCGCAGUUGCUCAGCCGGUCUCCUGACCGGCGUACUCUUCUGCGGCCAGGCCAGCAUCAGUUCGGGCGGUCGGAUAAAGGCCUCGGGAAUGUGGCUCCUCUCGGGGAGUGUUAUAGCCCGGGGUGCAAUGCGGCCAGCCUGGACUGAGGAACUCGCUUCGGCAAGGAUGCUGGCGUAAUGGUUGUAAGCGGCCCGUCUUGAAACACGGACCAAGGAGUCUAACAUCUAUGCGAGUGUUCGGGUGUCAAACCCGUACGCGUAAUGAAAGUGAACGGAGGUGGGAACCCGCAAGGGUGCACCAUCGGCCGAUCCUGAUGUCUUCGGAUGGAUUUGAGCAAGAGCAUAGCUGUUGGGACCCGAAAGAUGGUGAACUAUGCCUGAAUAGGGUGAAGCCAGAGGAAACUCUGGUGGAGGCUCGCAGCGGUUCUGACGUGCAAAUCGAUCGUCAAAUUUGGGUAUAGGGGC